rnacentral:rRNA from 1 species
AUUGAACGCUGGCGGCAGGCUUAACACAUGCAAGUCGAGCGGAGAUGAGGUGCUUGCACCUUAUCUUAGCGGCGGACGGGUGAGUAAUGCUUAGGAAUCUGCCUAUUAGUGGGGGACAACAUUCCGAAAGGAAUGCUAAUACCGCAUACGCCCUACGGGGGAAAGCAGGGGAUCUUCGGACCUUGCGCUAAUAGAUGAGCCUAAGUCGGAUUAGCUAGUUGGUGGGGUAAAGGCCUACCAAGGCGACGAUCUGUAGCGGGGCUGCGAGGAUGAUCCGCCACAAUGGGAAUGAGACACGGCCCAGACUCCUACAGGAGGCAGCAGUGGGGAAUAUUGGACAAUGGGCGGAAGCCUGAUCCAGCCAUGCCGCGUGUGUGAAGAAGGCCUUUUGGUUGUAAAGCACUUUAAGCGAGGAGGAGGCUACCUGGAUUAAUACUCUAGGAUAGUGGACGUUACUCGCAGAAUAAGCACCGGCUAACUCUGUGCCAGCCGCCGCAGUAACAC